CAGCCAGCCAGGCGGCAGGCACCAAGCUCCUUUGUUCUUGGGUCUGAUAGCAGAGGCAGCAGGGCCAGCAGGUAACGGAGGGCCUGUCCUCACCGGAUGUUGGCACUGUGGUUCCCACGGGAAUGCUUCCUGGAGAAGACUGGGGUACUGGCUAUAACAGCCCAGGGCAAGAAGAAUGGAAACUUCCUGAGAGCAGGAGCUGCUCUUGUUUAUCACUGAAUCUCCAGUAUAAGGACCAGUGCCCUACAUGAAGGAGCCUCUCAAUAACAAUUUAAUAAAUAAUUAGUAGUUACAGUAAAUA
rnacentral:lncRNA from 10 species